rnacentral:rRNA from 1 species
AACGAACGCUGGCGGCAUGCCUAACACAUGCAAGUCGAACGAAACGUUCGGGCUUAGUGGCGCACGGGUGCGUAACGCGUGGAAAACUGCGCUUAGGUUCGGACUAACUCCCCGAAAGGGGUGCUAAUACCGGAUAAUAUUUUCGGACCAAAGCUUUUUCGCCUUUGGAGGGGCCCGCGUUGGUUUGGUUGGGGGGUAGGGUAAAAGCCUACCAAGGCGAGGAGCCAUAACUGGUCGGUGAGGAGGCACCGCCACACUGGGACUGAGCCACGGCCCAGACGCCUACGGGAGGCAGCGGUGGGGGAUAUAGGGGAGUGGGCGUGAGCCUGCUCCGCCGCUGCCGCGUUGGCGGUGUUCGCCUUGGAGUUGUAAAGCUCUAUUAACCGAGAUGUUAAUGACAGUACCUGGAGAAUAAGCUCCGGCUAACUACGUG